GAUGAACGCUAGCGGGAGGCCUAACACAUGCAAGCCGAGCGGUAUUUGUUCUUCGGAACAGAGAGAGCGGCGCACGGGUGCGGAACACGUGUGCAACCUGCCUUUAUCUGGGGGAUAGCCUUUCGAAAGGAAGAUUAAUACCCCAUAAUAUAUUGAGUGGCAUCAUUUGAUAUUGAAAACUCCGGUGGAUAGAGAUGGGCACGCGCAAGAUUAGAUAGUUGGUGAGGUAACGGCUCACCAAGUCAAUGAUCUUUAGGGGGCCUGAGAGGCUGAUCCCCCACACUGGUACUGAGACACGGACCACACUCAUACGGGAGGCAGCAGUGAGGAAUAUUGGACAAUGGGUUAGCGCCUGAUCCAGCCAUCCCGCGUGAAGGACGACGGCCCUAUGGGUUGUAAACUUCUUUUGUAUAGGGAUAAACCUACUAUCGUGAGAGUAGCUGAAGGUACUAUACGAAUAAGCACCGGCUAACUACGUG
rnacentral:rRNA from 1 species